CAACCCCUAGCCUGGGAACCUCCAUAUGCCUUGGGUGUGGCCCUAAAAAGUAAAAUAAAACAAAAUACAUUUUUGCUCUGGAGACUGCUUAAUUUAGAUAGAAAAUGAACAAUUUUUCACAGGUGAAGAAAUGUUAGAUUGUAAUUUUGUGAGGAUAUUUUCUAAUUGAUGUCUUUGGGUAACUAAUUUUCUUGUUUGGUGCAACAUUGAGGGUGCUUAACAGGCACAGAAGUGGUGCAAUUAAUAAUUAAAGGUUUUAGGAUUAUAAUUAAAAUUAGGAAAGAUUUGAAAGGAUGACUUUUAUCAACAUUUAAUUUCUAGUACUGUUAUAGGUUGUUUUUUUUUUUUUCUCCUUUUAUUCGGCCUCCCCGAGGCAUGUGGAGUUCCCAGGCCGGGGAUCAGACCCCAGCCACAGUUGUGAGCUAUGCUACAGCUGUGGCAAUGCCAGAUCCUUUAGCCCACUGUGCCAGGCCAGGGCUUGAACCUGUGUCCUGGCUCUGCAGAGACACUGCUGAUCCCAUUGCACCACCAUGAGAACUCCUCUAGUGCUGUUAUAGUUAAACCACUCUCAGAAAUACUUUGUCAGCCCUUCUAUGUCUGGAGGGACUACCUAGUUUAAAUUCUUUUCUCUUGGUAUGGUCUAACCAAUUUGGAGAGUAUCACCUUCUACUAUUAUUUGUAAAUAGAGUAGAAAAGACUAGCAAAAGUGAAACCAAAAUUUUUAAAAAAUCACUGUUCAGCAUGUGGAAGACAUUUAAGAGGAGGUCCUUUAUCACCUUCUAGAGUGAAGUAUGGCUGGAAACAUAGCCAAAUUAGGGUAUAGUUAUUUAAAUGUCAAGUUUUUGGCACGGAAGAAAGCAGUGCCUGAUGGGGAUUUAUUUAAUCACGGCUCUUUUCAUCACUCAUUGAUUGGCAGUCUGUGGAACAAUUAAGUGGGCUGUCUACUUACAGCCUGAUCUGCCCAUCUCCUGGCUCCCACACGCAUUCUCCACCCCCCACUUCAUGCCUAACUCCUUUAGCCUCUGUGUUACUUCUAUUUAGUUUUUAUUGAUUUUUUUUUUUUUUUUUUUUUUUGGCUGUGCCCCUGGCAUGUGGAAGUUCCUGGGCCAGCCACAGCGGCAAUGACAACACCAGAUCCUUAGCCUCCUGAGCCGCAAAGGAACUCCACGUGUUAUUUCCUUUGGGCAGUCUUUCCUGAUGCUGGCAUCUGAAGCAGGCAGUCCUAAUGUAACUUUGCUUUAAGCUCUGGGUUUUGGCUUCUUGUGUCUAUUAUAUUGCAGUGUCUUGUCAUAAAAAUAAACCUGGGAGCCUAAUUUUAAUCUCCUUAUGUGGUUAUUUGCCUCUAGAACUGAACAGAUGCUCAAAUAUCAUUGUUAACGGAGAGGACUUCGUGGUCCAGUUGGUUUCUGGUGGGAGUCCUUUUGGAGAGUUGCUGAUAAUCAUACGAAGGCUUAUGUGAGAUGAUAUUAACUGUGUUCUUGAGCAACAAUGAACAGAUUUUAACGGAAGUUCCUGUAACACCAGAAACAACAUGUCGAGAUGUUGUAGAGUUUUGCAAGGAGCCUGGAGAAGGCAGUUGCCAUUUAGCUGAAGUGUGGCGGGGAAAUGAGCGUCCCAUACCCUUCGAUUAUAUGAUGUACGAACAUCUUCAGAAGUGGGGGCCACGAAGGGAAGAAGUGAAAUUUUUCCUUCGACAUGAGGAUUCCCCAACUGAGAGCAGCGAACAAGGUGGCCGUCAGACCCAAGAGCAAAGAACUCAGAGAAAUGUAAUAAAUGUACCUGGAGAAAAACGGGCUGAAAAUGGGGUUGGGAAUCCACGUGUUGAACUUACCCUCUCAGAGCUCCAAGAUAUGGCAGCUAGGCAACAACAGCAAAUUGAAAACCAGCAGCAAAUGUUGGUUGCCAAGGAGCAGCGUUUACAUUUUCUAAAGCAGCAGGAGCGCCGUCAGCAACAGUCUGUUUCUGAAAACGAAAAGCUUCAGAAAUUGAAAGAACGCGUGGAAGCCCAGGAAAAUAAGCUGAAGAAGAUCCGAGCCAUGAGAGGACAGGUGGACUACAGCAAAAUUAUGAAUGGCAAUCUGUCUGCUGAAAUAGAGAGGUUCAGUGCCAUGUUCCAGGAAAAGAAACAGGAAGUACAGACUGCGAUUUUACGAGUUGAUCAGCUCAGUCAGCAGCUGGAAGAUUUAAAGAAAGGAAAACUGAACGGGUUCCAGUCUUACACUGGCAAGCUCACGGGACCAGCAGCUGUGGAGCUCAAAAGACUAUACCAGGAGCUGCAGAUCAUGCACGUACUUUCUGUUGUUCAGAUUCGUAACCAGCUCAACCAGGAACAGAACUCGAAGCUCCAGCAGCAGAAGGAGCUCUUGAGUAAGCGCAACAUGGAGGUGGCCGUGAUGGACAAGCGCAUCAGUGAGCUGCGGGAGCGUCUCUAUGGGAAGAAAAUCCAGCUGAGCCGUGUGAAUGGCACGUCGUCACCACAGUCCCCGCUGAGCACGCCGGGCAGGGUCGCUGCAGUGGGGCCUUACAUCCAGGUUCCCAGCAGCGGCAGCUACUCUGUUCCUGGAGACCCCGUAAAGCCCCAGUCUCUCACCGUCGCCCCGAGUGCUGCCCACGGAAGAUCCAAGUCUGCCAAUGAUGGAAACUGGCCAACAUUAAAACAAAAUUCAGGCUCUUCAGUGAAAGGGACACAGAUUGCCAGCGUGGACUGGAGGGACUCUAGCACCGAGGGGCCUCUCAAGCAGGGGGCUGUCUCGAGCCAGCCUGUGCCCUUGCCAGCCUUGGGUGCCACAGAGAAGCUGGGCCUCGAGAUGGGCAAAGUGCCACCCCCGAUCCCUGGCGUUGGCAAGCAGCCGCCCCCAAGCUAUGGGACAUACCCGAGUCCUGCGCCCGUGGGCCCAGGCUCGACCAACUCCCUGGAGAGGAGGAAGGAGGGCAGCUUGCCCAGGCCCAGCACAGGCCUGCCCAGUCGACAGAAACCUGCCCCGCUGCCCCCUGCGGGCAGCCCCCACCCACCGGGUUCCUCGCAGCAGAUCCAGCAGAGGAUUUCUGUGCCACCAAGUCCCACGUACCCGCCAGCGGGGCUGCCUGCAUUUCCAGCUGGAGACGGCAAACCUGAACUCCCACUGACUGUGGCCAUUAGGCCAUUUCUGGCUGAUAAAGGAUCAAGGCCACAGUCCCCCAGGAAAGGACCCCAGACAGUGAAUUCAAGCUCCAUAUACUCCAUGUACCUCCAGCAAGCCACACCACCUAAGAACUACCAGCCAGCGGCACACGGCACCUUAAAUAAGUCGGUUAAAGCAGUGUAUGGGAAGCCUGUGCUACCGUCUGGCUCGACGUCUCCGUCCCCAUUACCGUUUCUGCAUGGGUCGCUGGCCACGAGCACCUCGCAGCCCCAGCCACCGUCAGAAAGCGCGGAGAAAGAGCCGGAGCAGGACAGCCCUGCCCCUCCCGGCGACGGGGGCGGCGCCAGCACCGUGGAGAGCCUGCCGCGGCCGCUCAGCCCCACCAAGCUCACGCCCAUCGUGCACUCGCCGCUGCGCUACCAGAGCGACGCCGACCUGGAGGCCCUGCGCAGGAAGCUGGCCAACGCGCCCCGGCCUCUGAAGAAGCGCAGCUCCAUCACGGAGCCCGAGGGCCCCGGCGGGCCCAACAUCCAGAAGCUGCUGUACCAGCGGUUCAACACCCUGGCCGGAGGCAUGGAGGGCACCCCCUUCUACCAGCCCAGCCCCUCGCAGGACUUCCUGGGCACCUUAGCCGACGUGGACAACGGGAACACCACGGCCAACGGGAACCUGGGGGAGGCUAGCCCGGCCCCCCCCACAGCCCCUCACCCUGCGGAGCCGGCCCCGGCCUCAGACGCCAAUGACAACCAGCUCCCUUCCCCCGAACCGGAGGGGCUCACCUGUCCCCCAGACACCCACCAAACAGCUGAGCCGGCUGAGGAUGACAACAACAACGUGGCCACAGCCCCGUCCACAGAGCAGGUCCCCAGCCCUGGGGCCGAGGCCCCCUCUCCAGGGGAGGAGCAAGUCCUCCUGUCACUUCCCCCGGCCGUGCCCCCUCCUGCUGUCUCUACGGUGGGUGUCACCCUAGACCAAGGCCACCGCUCCCUCGUCACCCAGCCAGCACUUGUCAAGGAUGCGCCUGUGUUGGCUGUGGUGCCAGGGGCUCUGGGGCUCUGCGGGGGCUCUUGGGGUGGUGGUCUCCUACUAGGGGGCCCAAGAAGAUGUCCCCAAGGAGAGAGGGCCACGCCUGGGAUCCCAAGGGCAGGCAGUGAGGAAGGAGGAUCUCCAGACAAAACCCGGCGGGAGGGCUGCGGAGGGAGCCCUCACGGGCGGGAGGGAGCUGCCAGCUCUGGGUGGAAGCAGUUAAGCUUGGCUGCCUCCCCGGGGCGCCCCGGGCAGAGCUGGUCCUGUGCGGCCCGGGGCUGCUGCUCCACCUGGCCCCUAGCCCCUGCCCGCGGCCCACCGCAGCGGCCUGUCACCUUUAAGUCACAAGCGUGCUCCUUCCCAAUAGAGCAAACGGACCAACCUGAAGAAGCCGAACUCGGAGCGCACGGGGCACGGGCUGAGGGUCCGGUUCAACCCCCUGGCGCUGCUUCUGGACGCCUCCCUGGAGGGGGAGUUCGACCUGGUGCAGAGGGUCAUCUACGAGGUGGAGGACCCCAGCAAGCCCAACGACGAGGGCAUCACCCCGCUGCACAACGCCGUCUGCGCGGGCCACCACCACAUCGUGAGGUUCCUGCUGGACUUCGGCGUCAACGUGAACGCCGCCGACAGCGACGGCUGGUGAGGCCCCGGGUCCGUCGGGUGGUGGGUCUGGGGGGGACGAGGAUGCGGCACGUGGUCCCAGAGCUGCGCGGCCCCCCGGCCUGAGUUCUUUCAGCGGUUCUGUGAAAGCCUCGGCUCUGUGAGUGGGAGUGGUUGGCUCGUGCUGCGGUGCAGGCCCUGGGCCUCCUGAGCCGCAGGCAGCUGUCUGUUGUGCGUUCGAACAACUCGUGCUUUUUCAGUGUCACACGUGCACAACAGUUAUCAGCACAGCUGUUGCAAAGGACGCGCCGGCCGUGGGAGGGACGUCCGUCUUCUAGGCCAUUCUCAGUCCACUCCCCACCCGCCCUUUUCCAAAGCAGCGUGUGGUAGAAAUCAGGCCACUGAAAAGACAGCAGCGCGGCUGCUUGCUGGGCCCUGAGCAGCCAGCCCUGGGGCGGCCUGGUCCCAGCCACCCCGCAGGGCACGAGCGUCGCCCCCGUCCCUUCCAGGACGCCACUGCACUGCGCCGCCUCUUGCAACAGCGUCCACCUCUGCAAGCAGCUGGUGGAGAGCGGCGCCGCCAUCUUCGCCUCGACCGUCAGCGACAUCGAGACGGCUGCAGACAAGUGCGAGGAGAUGGAGGAGGGCUACAUCCAGUGCUCCCAGUUUCUAUACGGCGUGCAGGAGAAAUUGGGCGUGAUGAACAAAGGCGUGGUCUAUGCCCUGUGGGCUUACGAUGCCCAGAACAGUGACGAGCUGUCCUUCCACGAAGGGGACGCCCUCACCAUCCUGAGACGCAAGGAUGAAAGCGAGACCGACUGGUGGUGGGCUCGCCUUGGGGACCGGGAGGGCUACGUGCCCAAAAACCUGCUGGGGUUGUAUCCGCGGAUCAAACCCCGGCAGCGCACGCUCGCCUGAACUUCCCCCAGGAGGCCCGCAGCGGCUUGCCCGCGACGAGGAGCCCCCGAAGAGAGGAUCCUGCCGUCUCCCAGGAAGGCCGGAGCUGGAGGUGGCCUGACGGUGCUCCGUCCGGCAGGCAGCAUGCAUGUGAACCCCAGCAGUUUCUAGGUGAGGCCCCGGCUCCACUCCGCCCCCGGUGGGAGAGCAGGUUCUCCUCCAGGGAGACUGAACUUGCUGUUAGUGCAGCUCCGAAUAAAUAGCCAGCUUUCUCAGCCACCGCCCUGUUGCCACUGAGAAGCCCCGUCAUUAACCCCGGGUUGGUCGCCAGUGAAGAUACACGCUCUGACGGACACGGGCCCAAGGCCCUCGUUCCCAGUGUCACCCCAGCCCCAACAGCGAGAACUCGCAGCUGCCAAGGUGCGUCCCCCGCUAGAGCCCUGCCCUCCUGUUCCCGGAGGUCACAGAUACCCUCACCCUUUCCAUCCUCGCCACACGCGUGUCUUCCUCUCGUCACCAAAGGAGCCCCGUUGGAAACGUCUGUCUCUUGGUGGCGCCUAAUGCGUGGGCUCCACUUCCCAUGUCAGGCCCUGGCCUAGGUCACCCACGGCUGGCGGUGCUGGGCUGGACUCCAUGCCACGGGCACGAGGGCCCCUAGGACCAGGCGACACGCGGUCAGGCGUCCCAACCCAGCACCACCUUCUCCGCAGCCCCUUGCUGCCCAGGCGUGUUUCUCAGCCCCUCAUGGCGGGGACGCCUGCUCGGCACGAGGGGCAGCGGCGAGGGUCCGGUGGCCGUGAUGCAAUAACCUUCCCCCCAGUUCCAGACCUAAAGCAAGUAUUCACCUCGGGAAGUUUGAACUGGACGUGCGGGCUUUUAUGUGUAACCCAAAGUAUUUUUUGACUAAGCCACUCAAAACUAUCAAAACCAUGUUGGAAAUGUUUUCUCUCAUUAAAAUCCAGGCCCUUAGGCUUUAUUUUCC